rnacentral:rRNA from 1 species
AGAGUUUGAUCCUGGCUCAGGACGAACGCUGGCGGCGUGCCUAACACAUGCAAGUCGAGCGGAGACAGUGAGUAGCUUGCUAUGAGCUGUUUUAGCGGCGGACGGGUGAGUAACGCGUGAGCAACCUUUCCCAGACAGGGGAAUAACACACCGAAAGGUGUACUAAUACCGCGUAAGACCACGGGAUCACAUGGUUCUGGGGUAAAGGAUUUAUCGGUUUGGGGUGGGCUCGCGUCCGAUUAGGUAGUUGGUGAGGUAACGGCCCACCAAGCCGACGAUCGGUAGCCGACCUGAGAGGGUGAUCGGCCACAUUGGGACUGAGACACGGCCCAAACUCCUACGGGAGGCAGCAGUGGGAAUAUUGGGCAAUGGAGGAAACUCUGACCCAGCAACGCCGCGUGGAGGAAGAAGGUUUUCGGAUCGUAAACUCCUGUCCUUGGAGACGAGUAGAAGACGGUAUCCAAGGAGGAAGCCCCGGCUAACUACGUGCCAGCAGCCGCGGUAAUACGUAGGGGGCAAGCGUUGUCCGGAAUAAUUGGGCGUAAAGGGCGCGUAGGCGGCUCGGUAAGUCUGGAGUGAAAGUCCUGCUUUUAAGGUGGGAAUUGCUUUGGAUACUGUCGGGCUUGAGUGCAGGAGAGGUUGGUGGAAUUCCCAGUGUAGCGGUGAAAUGCGUAGAGAUUGGGAGGAACACCAGUGGCGAAGGCGACUAACUGGACUGUAACUGACGCUGAGGCGCGAAAGUGUGGGGAGCAAACAGGAUUAGAUACCCUGGUAGUCCACACUGUAAACGAUGAAUGCUAGGUGUAGGGGGUAUCGACCCCUUCUGUGCCGCAGUCAACACAAUAAGCAUUCCGCCUGGGGAGUACGGCCGCAAGGUUGAAACUCAAAGGAAUUGACGGGGGCCCGCACAAGCAGCGGAGCAUGUGGUUUAAUUCGACGCAACGCGAAGAACCUUACCAGGUCUUGACAUCCACUUAAACUUACAGAGAUGUAAGGUGUGCUUGCACAAAGUGGGACAGGUGGUGCAUGGUUGUCGUCAGCUCGUGUCGUGAGAUGUUGGGUUAAGUCCCGCAACGAGCGCAACCCUUAUCUUCAGUUACUAACGCGUGAGGGUGAGGACUCUGAAGAGACUGCCGGGGACAACUCGGAGGAAGGUGGGGACGACGUCAAAUCAUCAUGCCCCUUAUGACCUGGGCUACACACGUGCUACAAUGGCCACGACAGAGAGAAGCGAAAUCGCAAGGUAGAGCGGAACUCAAAAAAGUGGUCCCAGUUCGGAUUGUGGGCUGCAACCCGCCCACAUGAAGUCGGAGUUGCUAGUAAUCGCGGAUCAGCAUGCCGCGGUGAAUACGUUCCCGGGCCUUGUACACACCGCCCGUCACACCAUGGGAGUUGGGAGUGCCCAAAGCCGGUGAGGCAACCGCAAGGAGCCAGCCGUCUAAGGCAAGACCAAUGACUGGGGUGAAGUCGAAACAAGGUA